UACGGGGGGAGCAAGCGUUGUUCGGAUUUACUGGGCGUAAAGGGCGCGUAGGCGGCCACCGCAAGUCGGUUGUGAAAUCUCUGGGCUUAACCCAGAAAGGUCAACCGAUACUGCGGGGCUAGAGUGCAGAAGGGGCAACUGGAAUUCUCGGUGUAGCGGUGAAAUGCGUAGAUAUCGAGAGGAACACCUGCGGCGAAGGCGGGUUGCUGGGCCGACACUGACGCUGAUGCGCGAAAGCCAGGGGAGCGAACGGG
rnacentral:rRNA from 1 species